GUAAAAUUUCUUCAACUAAUGUGCAUAUAGUGAUUGCCUCAAUUUCAUAUUUUCCUUUUAUUAUCACCUGCCAAAUUAGUUUUCAUUUUUGUAUCUUUUUUCUAUAAAAAAGUAAAACGAGGUGUAGACUAUACACUACAUUAUCAACAAAUGUUUGAAUCUGCAGAUGAAUAAAUGUUUCCAUUUUGUUUUAGAAUUCCCCCAUUCAGUUAUUUCACAUGGAUACUUCCACAUCCUUCGUCUCUUUGGAGCAGUCGUCCUUGGUACACUGAUCUUAUGUGCAGUUUAUCUGAGCUGCAAGAUAUAAGAAUAAAAGAUGCAUCAGUAGAAGAGCCAAGUACAGUGUGGAUCCCAUAGAGGAAAUAUAAAGGGAACAAAAUGAACAAGGAGGACAAAAUGGCUAAAGUCUUGUUUGUUAUUGUCAUAUGAUUCUACAUUCGGACAUCUACAUUUCGCAUCAUCAAUCAAUCGACAUAUAGGGAAGAGGACAUUAUAGCAACAUUGCAAUAAAUAAUAAUCAUGAAUCAGUAGAAUUAUGUAUCAUUUCAUUCUAAUAAUGCUGCAUUAACACCGGCAAAAUCUCUUUAGAUUGAAAAUAUGUCUAUAGCAAAGUGUAGCAGGUACAGUGUGUAAUAUUUCAUGUUAUUUUAGUGUCUCUGAUAGCUGAACAUUAUGAAACCUGUAGCCUGUUAUUAACCUGUAUAACCACAUUUCUUACCACUUUUUAAUAAAGUUGUUUUCAUUUCCCAUA